GGGCAGGUGGCAGAGUGGUCAAUUGCACGACGCUGUAAACGUCGCGACCUUACGGUCUACGGGGGUUCGACUCCCUCCCUGCCCA
rnacentral:tRNA from 1 species